GGGCGCUGCGGAGAGAUGGAGGCAAAGCGGUUAGCGCUCUGGAAACACACCGCUGCCCAGAAGAGGUGGGGUGAUACGCGACUGGACAGUGAACGCACCGCUGAGUGUUGAGACUGGGAACCAUUAGCAUUUCCAUGAAGGAGCUUGUUAACAAACACACGUCCAGCUUUGCUUUGGACUCACCGAGCCCCAAGACACAGUGUUGUGUCUUGGCUCCAGACCACACAACAACAGCGUACGAAUGUGGAACCGACAGCGUGAACGCUGUUUACAUGUUGUCAGGAGACGAGCGGCUGCUGCUGCUGUGGUUUCUCUCCCGUCUCUAAACACAUUAUCAGCACGUUGAGGUGGACACUGACUGUGCGUUACACUCUGACCUAGCUAAAAACACACAGCUGAGAACCAGGUGAAGUCCGGUGCAGCUACACACCCGUCACCUCUAUCACCAGCUCCAUCAUCAGAUUCAUCAUCAGAGUCAUCAUCCCUGCACCUUCCUCCUGCUCUGACGCUCCAUCCCAGUAAUGAGCAGCAGGAUCCGCUCUGUUCUGUUCUGCCUGAUAAUGACGAUGAGGACAAAAGGCAUCGUCUGACCUGCUGCAGCGUUCUAUUCAAGCCACCGUAACUGAACUUUAAUUCUGUUUAACAGCAGGGCUACGGGAGAAGAGUUUGUUUAUGGCUAUGAGGAGAAGUUCAGGAGUCAGAGGCAGGAGGCAAACGGAUAGAAGAAGAUUAAAGAAGAUCAUGCUGCAUGGAGCAAAACAAUAUAAACAUGUUCAGCUUGGAUUGGACUCUUCAGCUUCUUUAGAGGGAAACUCCUCUUUCCCUCUUUAAUCUGUUUAUGACUUUGCCCACAGACGGCGGAGUCGUCUGUGUCUUCAACUAGUAUCUGGAUAAAAUACAACACGGUCUUGGUUUAACCUUUGAAGAAACACACCGGCUUCACAGGCCAUGACCCCAUCCCUUUAUCUGCUGCUCCCGGUGUCUCAUUCAAAUAAAACGAGGAGGAGAGGCUCCUCUUUGAACUAAUUUCCUGUACCUCUGCUUUUUUUUGUUUUUUUCCAGGUUGCGAACUCGAUUACCGGCUCUGGAUCUCGCUCUGUGCUCCCAUGACUGAUAACAGAUGGGGGGGCAGAGGCGCCCGGCUCCUCCGGCGUGGUUUAUACACUGAUUUCACAGCUGUCGGCUACGAUCAGGGCCUCUGAAGCUAAACUCAAUGAGAGCUCAUACUGUAUGAGAUGAUAUCCAGCCAUCGCCGGGGUCUGAUCCCCGGGGCGCGGCGCGUGGUGUGACGUCACUAAUGCACCCGGCCGGGGAAAGACUGGAGUCUCUUCAUUACCCAAAGUCAAGCCCAUCGCCGUCUUUUUAAUGCUCCGUCUGACUGCUCAGAUGUUCCUGGCAGAUGUCAGAGCCGCCGUUACCGACACGCAGACAGUAAUGUGAGUCGUCGCCGUGCAACAGGGCGCGGCGGCCUAAUAAAUGUGCGGUGGAGCCUUUAUUCCGCAUGCGACGUGGUCGCCGGAGCAAAGCAAGGCAACAGAACAAAGGCAAAGUGCCAUUUAUGGCCAAACACGGAUCCAAGUCGGAGCUGGAUUCUGGAUUCUGGCCGUAGGUGUUUACAGUUUAGAGUAGAACCGAGCGAGAGGUAAACUGUGUGGGAAGGCGCCUCUUGAUCAGGAAUGAACGCGCUGCUGUGGUCACGACCCCGAAGCCAUCACCGAGCUACGCCAGCCACAGUGUUGACGUUUGCGGGAGCUGUUGAGCAACACCAGAAAUUUUUCAACGCGUCAGACCAUUUACUGCGAGUUUGACGUCCUGUAAAAACGAAAACGAUUUCGCUGUAAAUGUUUUCCUGAGAAAAUAGAGAUGACGGAGACGGGAUGAGGAAGCCUGUGCUGCUGAUGCUUUCAGGGACUUUCCGUUGCUUUAAACGCAGCUCAGUGCAGUGAUCUCCUGCAUAUCGCACCUUUUUACUGUGAUGCAGACUGACACGCUGUGCGGCCGACGUUCACCUCGGAGCGACAGCGUGUUUUACUGAAUGGCUUUUGACAUCACACUAACUGAGGAUCGCUAUUACUGCGUGCUGCUCCACUAAACGCCCUCCACAUCUCUGCUACGAAGAAGAAACCCUUUCAAAAAAUGCUGAAUAUUUAUCUUUAUUCAGAACUUUACGACCUUGAGCUUCU